rnacentral:lncRNA from 1 species
CCUCUUCAUGUUCAAAGAGUUGGACGUCCAUCUGGCAAAGAUCCAAGGCGUGGUGACGCCUGGAACAGAAGGCUACAGGACAUCUUCGACAGGCUGCUGCUCCAACUUCAGAAGGAGUUCUGAAGUACUUUCAAAUUAGAUUAAGAUCUAAUUUUUGGAGCGUAGAUUCGUGAGGAGAAGAUGUUCCAGAUCCUGUCUAA